CGACUUAAUCAGUUUUAACACGAAAAGAUGUCGACGAAAGAAGAGAAGAAGCAGGCCGCUAGGGAGGAGAACAGAAGAGCUGCUCAGGAAGCAGCAAGCGCAUCAACCUCUGAGCAAACAACAACAACAUUUAUUUCUAUAGCACAUUUUUGUACAAACAAUGUAGCUCAAAGUGCUUUACAUGAUGAAGAAAGAGGAAAAAAGACCAAAUAAGAAUUAAAAUUAGGGAACACUAAUUAGCAUAAAAUAAAAGUAAGGUCCAAUGGUCAGGGAGGACAAAAAAAACUCCACAUGGCUGGAGAAAAAAAUAAAAUCUGCAGGGGUUCCAGGCCACGAGACCACCCAGCCCCCUCUAGGCAUUCUACCUAACAUAAAUGACCUCAAUCAGUCCUCAUUGUAUUCAGGGUUCUCAUGGAAGGACUUGAUGAUGACGGUCACGUGGACUUCUGGCCUUUAAUCCAUCAAUGUAAGGACGUCACAGUGCUUUGAUUAGGUGGUGGUGGUGCAGGUCGCCACCACAGAAAACUGGAAAAAGAACAGAAGAGAGAGUAGGGGUUAGUACGGAUUUUAGAGCCACCAUGAAUAGUUAUAAUUAAUUGAAUAUGCAGAGCAUCAGGAUUCAACUAAGAUGAAGCUAUGAGAAAGCCAUGUUAAAGUAAUGAGUUUUUAGCAGUUUUUUAAAGUGCUCCACCGUAUCAGCCUGGCGAAUUCCUAUUGGCAGGCUAUUCCAGAUUUUAGGUGCAUAACAGCAGAAGGCCACCUCACCACUUCUUUUAAGUUUAGCUCUUGGAAUUCUAAGGAGACACUCAUUUGAAGAUCUAAGGUUACAAUUUAGAAUAUAAGGUGUCAGACAUUCUGAUAUAUAACAUGGAGCAGAUUAUUUAAGGCUUUGUAAACCAUAAGCAGUAUUUUAAAGUCAAUUCUGAAUGACACAGGUAACCAGUGUAGUGACAUCAAAACUGGAGAAAUGUGCUCGGAUUUUCUUUUCCUAGUUAAGAUUCUAGCAGCUGCAUUCUGCACUCGUUGCAAUCGAUUGAUGUCGUUUUUGGGUGGUCCUGAGAGGAGACCGUUACAAUAAUCUAGUCGACUGAAAACAAAAGUGUGAACUAAUUUCUCAGCAUCUUUCAAUGAUAUAAGAGGUCUAACGUUUGCUAUGUUUCUUAAGUGAAAAAAUGCUGUCCUAGUGGUCUGAUGAAUAUGCGAUUUAAAAUUCAGGUUACAGUCAACAGUUACCCCUAAAUUCUUUACCUCUGUCUUGACUUUUAAUCCUAAUGCAUCAAGUUUAUUUCUAAUAACCUCAUUAAAUCCAUUAUUG